rnacentral:rRNA from 1 species
UACAGAGGUCCCAAGCGUUGUUCGGAUUCAUUGGGCGUAAAGGGUGCGUAGGCGGCGCGGUAAGUCGGGUGUGAAAUCUCGGAGCUUAACUCCGAAACUGCAUUCGAUACUGCCGUGCUUGAGGACUGGAGAGGAGACUGGAAUUUACGGUGUAGCGGUGAAAUGCGUAGAUAUCGAUAAGGAAGACCGAGUGGCGAAGGCGGGUCUCUGGACAGUUCCUGACGCUGAGGAGCGAAAGCGUGGGGAGCGAACAGG